UGAAAUUAAAAAGAAAAUGAUUAAAUUCUCUAAAAAAUAGUUUUUUAAAUUAUAAAAAUGUUAAAAUUAUAUAAAUUUCUAAAAGAAUCCUUAAAACUCUAAAAUUAUAAAAAAAAAUUUAAAAUUUUCAUAAAAUUGUAAAAAGAAAAAAGAAAAACACCAACAAUCUUUGCAAAAACCCAAAUCAAAUUAUAAAUGAAAAUGAAC
rnacentral:lncRNA from 1 species